rnacentral:tRNA from 1 species
AAAGGGAGACCUAAUUCGGGUAUAAGACGAAAAAAUAGUAGUCGAAACCAAGAAUCAAUCCCAAAAGGUCGGAACGAGGUAUGUGGCUUUCAAACUAGGUUCUGGGUUCAUAAAGGACCUGAAUCAGGAACAAGGGCUAUUAGCUCAGGUGGUUAGAGCGCACCCCUGAUAAGGGUGAGGUCCCUGGUUCGAGUCCAGGAUGGCCCACCUGCACAGGUGGCAAAAACAAAGAAAAGAAGCGAGGAAUCAGCACCUUAUCUUACUUAUAUAGUAAGAGAGAAUGCUGGCUCUGAGUACAGAGUCCAGAGGAACCUUGAAAACUGCAUAGAGCUAGGUGAAAAAGCCAAAAAAGAAGACCGCAAG